rnacentral:rRNA from 1 species
CCUACGGGUGGCAGCAGUGGGGGAUAUUGCACAAUGGGGGGAACCCUGAUGCAGCGACGCCGCGUGGGUGAAGAAGCGCCUCGGCGCGUAAAGCCCUGUCAGCAGGGAAGAAAAUGAAGGUACCCGAAGAAGAAGCCCCGGCUAACUACGUGCCAGCAGCCGCGGUAAUACGUAGGGGGCAAGCGUUAUCCGGAUUUACUGGGUGGAAAGGGGGAGCAGACGGCGAUGCAAGCCAGGAGUGAAAGCCCGGGGCCCAACCCCGGGACUGCUCUUGGAACUGCGUGGCUGGAGUGCAGGAGGGGCAGGCGGAAUGCCUGGUGUAGCGGUGAAAUGCGUAGAUAUCAGGAGGAACACCGGUGGCGAAGGCGGCCUGCUGGACUGCAACUGACGUUGAGGCCCGAAAGCGUGGGGAGCAAACAGGAUUAGAUACCCCAGUAGUC